CAGGGUGGGAUGCUCGGAGUGCCUCAGGCCUGCAGUGGAGUCCAUGGGGAUUUCCUUCCGGUUUGGCGCGCGGGCUUGGCGCGCAGGUCUGACCUCGGGUUCCUGACCGCGAGGUCUCCCACGGAGCCCCGGGCACUACUGCGGUGGCGGUCCCUGGUCCCGAGGUCGCGUGUCGUGACCGCACGUCAAGAGGGGGAACGAGAGGCUGGUGGGGUAGCAGGUGCCUCUGUUGACUUGAUAUUAUUUCCUCUGGAUACCAUUAAAACCAGGCUGCAGAGUCCCCAAGGAUUUUAUAAGGCUGGUGGUUUUCGCGGAAUAUAUGCUGGUGUUCCUUCUGCUGCUAUUGGAUCCUUUCCUAAUGCUGCUGCAUUUUUCCUCACCUAUGAAUAUGUGAAAUGGUGUUUGUACACUGAUUCAUCUUCGUAUUUGAUGCCUGUGAAGCACAUGUUGGCUGCCUCUGCUGGAGAAGUGGUUGCCUGUCUGAUUCGAGUUCCUUCAGAAGUGGUUAAGCAGAGGGCACAGGUAUCUGCUUCCUCAAGAACAUUUCAGAUUUUCUCUGAUAUCUUAUAUGAAGAGGGCAUCCAAGGCUUGUAUCGAGGCUAUAAAAGCACAGUUUUAAGAGAGAUUCCUUUCUCUUUGGUCCAGUUUCCCUUGUGGGAAUUCUUAAAAGCCCUCUGGUCCUGGCGGCAGGAGCAUGUGGUGGAUUCUUGGCAGUCAGCGGUCUGUGGAGCUUUUGCAGGUGGCUUUGCAGCUGCAGUCACCACCCCUCUGGAUGUGGCAAAGACAAGAAUCAUGUUGGCAAAGGCUGGUUCCAGCGUAGCCGGUGGCAACGUGCUUUCUGCCCUGCGUGGGGUCUGGCGGUCACAGGGGCUGGCAGGGUGAGGACAGCGCGAGUGCUCGGCUGCCUCGCUCCGCUCCACCGGCCCGGCCCUUCCUAUCUGCCUUCCACAGGACGGACCUUUCCUUUCUUCUGCUUAUGGUUAUGUCCUGGUCCAGGUUAUUUGCGGGUGUCUUCCCUCGGAUGGCCUCCAUCAGCCUGGGAGGGUUCAUCUUUCUGGGUGCCUACGACCAGACUCGCUGCCUGCUGUUGCAAGUGGGCAGAGAGGGUUCCUAGCGGACACCACUCACGCACAUCCAUGAAGAAGUGGGAGCACGGAACCUGUGCUGAAGCCCAGAGCUGCCCUCACUGUGACCCUGAGGCCAUGGUACCAUGGUCAGGCCGGCUGCAGUUGUCCUCAGUGUGCCACAAAGAAGAAAGUGCGUCAUGGUGGGACUCUGAAGGGACCCUCAGAACCCUUAAUAAACGCGCCUGGCAGUGCCGGGGAGCUUGUGUUUGA